GUCUAGCAUCGGCUGAACAUAUACUAAAAUUCAAACGAUAGAGAGAAGAUUAGCAUGAACAUUGCGCAAGGAUGACACGCAAAAUAUGAAAUAAGCUACUAUCGAUCUUU